ensembl:snoRNA small nucleolar RNA SNORD49
UGAAGUGAUGAAAACCUUGAGUAGGAAGUGCCGUCAGAUGCGACAACUGACGAUAUGUCGUCCACUUUUCUGAAU